UACGUAGGGUGCGAGCGUUGUUCGGAAUUACUGGGCGUAAAGGGCGCGUAGGCGGCCCGUCAAGUCCCGUGUGAAAGCCCCCGGCUCAACCGGGGAACGGCGCGGGAAACUAGCAGGCUUGAGUUCGCGAGAGGGAAGCGGAAUUCCGGGUGUAGCGGUGAAAUGCGCAGAUAUCCGGAGGAACACCGGUGGCGAAGGCGGCUUCCUGGACAGACACUGACGCUGAGGCGCGAAAGCUAGGGGAUCAAACGGG
rnacentral:rRNA from 1 species